rnacentral:lncRNA from 1 species
UCCUGCCCAGAGCUCUCCAGAUGCUCCGUCAGGUCGCAGCCGAACGCGCUCGCGGCUCCCUUCCUCUUGAGCUUCUGCUUGGCUCCCUUGUUCUUCAUGAGUGGUUGCUUAGGAGAUGCGAGAAGGAUUGGCCUGCAGCCACUUCCCUCUUCUGACUUCCCCAAGAUAGCGCUGCAGCCCCUUACCUACAAGCAAGCCAGUGGACGAUUGCUUGAAAUCAAGGAGAUUUCACACUCAGGCCCCUUUUGUGACCUUCUGUGACAGCAAGGCCAGCUGGAGAAACUCCUUAAAUCCAACUGGACAGGAAACAGAGAAACUUACUGGCCAAGAGGAUCAGGGGAAGAGGUGUAUUAAUGGAACACUGAGAAGCUCAAGGAUGGCAAGAAAAGGGCUGCUGAGGUGGCGCUAAUUCUCUCAGGGACCCUUGGCAAAAACCUGCAUUGAGUUGUUGUGUGGUGGACCCUGUCCUGGGAGGAGCCUCUUGCAGGAACCCUUGUUUAGAUGUGAAAUGGAGUAGGAGCAAUAGGACGACAGCUAGUGAGGAAUCAUAGCUGCCUAACUUUUCUUUUAAUUGUGAGGUAGUAAUUCUAAAAUAAUAAAAAAAAAAUAGUGCUUUUAUUUUAAUUGUGAAGUAAUUUUCUUUUAAUUGUGAAACAUUUAAAUGAUGUAGACAUUCCUUUUAGAAAGUAAAGAUGUUUGAAAAAUUAAUGUGAAAUGUUGACACGUUGUUUUAAGGUCUGAUCUCACAUUACUGAAGAGAAGCAAGUCAUCAGAACAAAGUCUAGGAGAUGUUUGCUGAAAUCAAAAAACUGUUUUCUCUACAAUUUGUAGCCUUUCCUUGCGGUUCUGGAGGAGACUUCCUUAAAACUUUUAUAUUUAUAUGUAUAUAUUCAGUUCAAUCAUUAAUGUCUGAUCAGCACUAAGAAAUACAUAGCAUGUUGGAAAAACAAGGAAAACUAGGUUUACUUUUUGGUCUCAGUACAAAUGAGAUGUGAGGUGCUGUGAUCUAUUAGCUCUAAAACCUUGUGGGACAUAUUGACCAAAAUGAAACAAUUGAAUUCACUACCUGCUGAUAACAUGUUUUUCUCUUAAUCAGUUUUGAUCAAUUUGUCUUGCAUAUCCUGCGCAGUUACUGUACAGCUUUAUUAUCUAAUAAAAGGCAGAAUUAAAAUGCUGGCUUUCAGCAUCUUAAUUGAAUUUCAAUUCUCAUCCAGAAAUAGCUUGACACAAAUCAAAAGCAAAAAAAAUAAUUAUCAUGUAAAUAAGCAAGGCCAUUCACUAUUUUCUAACAUAACUUAAUGCAAAUUAUGUAUCCGAAUAAAUGUAAGUGAUUAAAUUGUUCUAUUUAAAUGUGCAGAGAGCUCAGACUAGCAAAAAGUUAGCAGAUUUAGUGGAAAGGCUAUGUUUAGUUUCAAAUCAGGAUGCGUUAAUUAUCAGCUAACAGGAAGCAACCUUUUUAGUUUAGUUUUGUUUUGUUUUCUGGUAAUUUUUAUGUGUUUUGGAAAUAACUACAAGUCUGAAACAUAAUUAAAAUAGAUUGCGCCAAUCAUCUUAUUUUGCUAUCUGAUAUUUUUACAUCACACCAUCUUGAACAGACAUUAUCACAUAUCAGUCUUGUGGAAGUUUUACAAAGGUUUUUCCAAGUUCAUGCCAACUUACUUUCGUUACCCUUUUAAACUGUCUGGGCUACCCACAAAUGAGUGUGAGCUGUAUCAUCUCCUCUUUUCAAAUUAACUUUGGCAAUAAGUAACACUGUGUGUCAUGUGUUUGCUGUUUCCCCCAUCUCUUUGUGGCCAGAAGCAAAGAACAGUGGAGACCCAGAACUCUCUGUAUGUGCCCAGGAGCAUGAAGGAGAAAGAGAGAAAGUAAGAGAGAAAUAAAGAAAGAGAAAGGAAGAGAGAAGAGAGAAAGAGAAAAAGAAAGAGAGAGGAGAUGAAGAGAGAGAAGGAGAGAAAGAGAAAGAGAAAGAC